UUGACUGCUUCACUGCUGGGAAGAUCAGCAAGGUUGUAGAGUAUCCGGAGUACUUGGAUCUUCGCCCAUACAUGUCUCAGGCAGAUGGAGAACCACUCCUCUACUCCUUAUAUGCUGUCCUGGUGCACAGUGGUGUCAGCUGUCAUGGAGGACACUAUUUCUGCUACACAAAGGCCAGCAAUGGAUUGUGGUACCGGAUGGACGAUGAAUCUGUGCAGC